UCAGAAAAACCUGGAAAAAAUUACAUGAACUGAUGCAAAGUGAAGUGAGCAGAACCAGGAAAACACUGUACACAGUGAUAGAAAUAUCAACCUUGAAUGACUUCGUUCUGCUUAGCAAGACAAUGAUCCAAGACACUUCUGAAGGACUCAUGAUGAAAAAUGCUGUCUACCUCCAGAGCCAAAACUGGUGGCGUUUGAGAGCAGAUUCAAACAGCCAGAGGCUUUGCCAUGGUGCUUGCUCUCAAAUCAACAGCAAUGACAGUGCCAUCUCUCAAUCUAUUUUUCAAUGGCUUCUCAAGUGUUUGAAAAAGUGAAGUCUACUCUCUGUUAGCAGACAAACCCAUAAACUACAAUCCUUUUCCAUUCGCAGAGUCUCCUUUAUGUAUAUGCAUUUUUGAGGAGUACCUCUUAACUCUGUUUAAUUUCUCUUCAUCAUUGCCUUCAUCGGAGAUGCACACCCACUCAUCGAAGAGAUCAGCUGAGAAAACACUUUGGGGGAAUAUUUCGAAGAAAAUCCUUUAUCAGAGCAAAGGAGAAAACAAAAAUGCUUUUAGGCAUCGUGUUUAUGACAGUACAUAAAUAUAAUAAAAUUUUUAAACAAC